CUUGUGUUUGUGACUUGACCUGCUUCGUUUACCAUGGCAUUUGGUUAUAGCCGUAAGCGGCUUUAAAGUUACGUUUACCGUUGCCGGUUGCCUGUUGCCUGUUGCUUUUGACUUGCCCUCAAGGAACCAAGGCGGCCAUGUGAUAUACGAGGUAUUCCAGUCAGAACAGCAGCCAUUGUAAACAGUUUGCUUAAGCACAUAGUUUGUUUAUACUUAUUACUUGAUAAUGCCCACUGAUAUAUGGCCAGGGUAUUAUAUCUUUAUGAGGAAGUAAAUCCGACAGCUGCACUCGUUCGCAUCUUGAUAUCUAGCUUAUACAGUUUACACAUCCAAUAUGUGUACCAUAUAUGCACAUAUAUUUAUGUAUAUGUAUAAAACAUGUGUUAUAUACACAUUUGUCCGCUUUUUGACUUGCGGACUUGUGCUAAGUUAGUUCUUACCAUAUUUGCAACAUUUCCCAAACAUGCCCAAUAAACAGUUCAAUCGGGUAAGAAAAAUUCCCUUCUUGUAUUUCCGGCUGUCUGACGGUUGGCGCCCAGAACGACCGAGGAACUUUCCUUGCGCUGCUUAAAUUUCCAUGGAACACACUGACGAGCUGAGAGCCACUGUCAGGGCAGAGAACGGGGGUAUGGCAGGGAGCUCGGCUGGGGCUCCAUUUCCAUUUCACAUGGUCAUGCGAUUUCCACGUACGCCGCCAGCUUCUCAAGUGGCAGCCAGUUGAACGCGCACCAAUAGGACGCACCGCCCCGGGCCGGCCCCCGUGCACUCGUUGUGCGCCUCGGUGAUAAUUUGAAAAGUUUAUAUGCCGUCGACUGGCUGCCGCAGCCUAUACAUGAAUCCAGUGCCAGAGCUGCUGUAGCUGUAGAUGGAGCUGCUGCAGCAUUCUAAUGACAACUUAAAUAAACAACUGCACAAUGCCAGGAAGGGAAACGGAGCAGUUCAAGUUGUUUUCCCAUCGUCGAGGGCGGCGCAUUGUGUGGAAAUAUUUAUUUUCUAUAAAUUAUUUUUGAUUAUCGCGAGCUGAGUGAACUGAAGUAAAACCUCCCCACCCCAACGAGUCCAGCCCCAACCCGACGCCCAAACUAAAUAAAUACAAUGCGCUGCAAUUAAAGCCAAACAAAAUGCAUAAUUUCUGGUCAUUUGCCCGGCCCGGCGAUAGGCCCCCAUCGCGAGUCUGUGCGGUCGGGGGCAGGGGGCACAAAGUUAUGUACAACGCAUCCGCUAAUGGAAUUUUAAUGUUUCAUUCGAAAUAGUCGCAUUCGGCGCAUAAAUUUGGCUUUGCUCAAAUCAAUAUUUACUUGCAGCUUUUUUUGUGGAGUAUUGUUAAUAAUAAUGGAAAAUGUUCGAGGCAUUUACUUGGAAAAUGUCUACCUGUUUGAUUAACUUGGCGCCGCAAUUCCAACGAAUUGAGAAAACUUAAUUCCGAAUAAAAAGUCAACUUAUAUAAUGAAAAUAUACAUAUAUCUUCCCAGGUAGCCAACAAAUCUAACCACUUUCUCUGAGGCGGGCGCUUUUUUUAAAUAUUAAAAUUAAAAUUAUAAAACAACGCAACGUAUGUGACAUGGUAGAAUAUAUUGAAACGAUAAAGAUUUAGUUAUUAAUGUACUAUUUUCUUGAGUCUGUCCAUUUGUGAGGACAUUCAUUCAAUUCUGUAAAGGACCUUUUAUUUGUGUUUAUUUUAUUGGCAAUUCUAACAAGGCAAAAAGACGAGCUACGUAUUAACGAAAAGCUAUUCCUCAGAGCAUUACUUCCAUACCAUAAUCUAAGAGAAAAGCUGGCAGCAAGUUGCAACUUAACCUGGGAACUUGGCCAAGCUGCCUUCGCCUUGGCAACUAUGCAAUGUGCGCACAUCUGAAAUGCAUGCAAAAUAUAACGCGUCCUGGCUGAUCUCUGGCAAAACAACAUUAAAUUGAAACAAAUUGAACAUAAAAAGCAUUCAAAAUAAAGCAAACACCUCACCGACGACGACGACGAGGACGACGAUGAAGGCGAUACCAGGACCAGAGGCAGCCCCUGAAUCAGAAGCGUAGCUGGGACGAGAAUGAGGUGCUGCCAAAGUAAAUACACAGUCCAACACCAACACCAACUCACGCACACUCACACACACACACACACACACAACUGGAGUUAAAAGUUUGUGGAUGGGAAGAGGAAUGGAGAUGGGUUACUUUGGUAGUUUGAAAAUAGAACGCAAAAUCAAGCAAAGGUACACAACAGACUAAAUGGAGGAAGAGCCCGGCGAGUGAGAGAUAGAUAGAGGGGCGAGGCAACAGACGAGACACUGACAGACUGACAGGGAAGGAAACGGAAGUAUUUUCUGUUGAUACUGAACUCAAUUUAGACGAAAUCAAGUCAAACAUGGCAGCAGCAGCUACCAGGAGCUGAGCGGUGUGUGAGCCAAAAGAAGAGCGCAAAAUGUUGUAGUAAAUCAUGUGGGAGCCAAAAGGUAAAUGGAGGAGCUGGGAGCGAAUGCUAUGCACUUGGCGUGUGUCCAAAAGAAUGCUCAAGACGAUGUCGCCUCCGACUCCGCUACCUACAAAGUUGCUUAACAAAAAAACUCGAGGCCUGAUUGAUGUUUGUGCUCCUAGUUGUUGUUUGCAGACAGGACAACCAAUCCGAAGACCGAAGAUGCCAUUCAAUUUUCGAUUAAAGUCUCGGUAGCUGGCAGCAAAUUGGUUUGCCCAUUGGUUCCAUUGGUCGCACUAAUCAGUCGCAUGUCCAAAUAUUUAUGCCCAGCCCCAGCACCGGGUGUCAAGCAGCAGACAAUAAAACUUCGCUGUGAAGGAAAGUGAAAGUCAGCGCAAAGGAUACACAAAGAAUAGUGCAAGGCUAGCAAAUAGGAUGUUGUUAUGUAUCCAUUAUCCAGCCAUAUACCUCGCUGUCCGUACAGAGGGGUAUUCUUAGUCCUCGAUUCUAAGUACCUUGGCACAAGAUAUGGAUAGCACGUUAGCUAAGAUAUCUUUUAGUUGAUCAAAUUUCGAAUUUUCACUUUCCACUUGUAUUGGUUUUUUCGCCAUCCUUUUGCGAGUCACAUUUAAUGGGUUUAGCAAUGCCGGUUUUUUUCGGCCUGCUUCGUACACAACGAUUUCCUUUCGUGGGGGGGUUUCGAUGGUCAGACAAUGGAUCCGGGUUAGGGAACAUUCUGCCAGCGACACCAGGGCACAUAGUCCAGUGCGGACACAGGCUCAGCAUGUGGUGCAAGGACUUGUGUUCCCUCUCUCUCUCUCCCUCUAUCUCCCUCUAUGUUGCUCCUUCUCUCUCUCUUGUGUGGGCUGUCCACACUUUCACUGGCCGCUCUAUUUACAGUUUAGGCCAGCGAGCAGCACAGCGCAGGAUUUGCUGGGAAUUGUGUUUGGUAAACAUUUUCGACUCUGUUGUUUUUAAUAAGAAAAUUGGCCAAAGGCCACACACAACAGUAACAAGAACAAAGGGACUGGCAGCAGCAGCAGGAGCAGGAUUUCGAGUAGAAGCUGGAUAAAGGGCGACUGCCUGGCAGAUUGCUUUUAAAUUUAAGACCCGCUCAGUUUCAGUUUUUAUUCCAUUUAACUUAUGUGUGUUUGUGUGUUUCUUGGAGAUUUAUGUUUGUUUGUUUUGGGCUUGGGCUUGGAUUUGUGGGUCAAGCCGAGCGAGGACGAGUAAAGCGUUUACGAGAAUUAGUUGGUCCGCACAUUGAUAGAGUUUCAAAAGGAUGGCCGAUGAGUCGGAAAGAAAUGAAUUUUUCGGAUGCUUGCUGAAUAAAUAAACCAGAGCCAACCAGAUUCCGACCAAGCCAAAGAGUAAACAACAAAAUCAAGAUGACAUUUCCCAAACCGAUAAGAAAUCUGUAAUAAACUGCGAUAAAAUCUGUGUGUUUUCCUAUUUUUGGAAAACUAAUUCCCAAAUCAAAUGCAAAUAUGCAUUGAAUAUUUUCAUAUUAAAAUGUAAAUGUAAAUAAAAUAUGAAAAUAAAAUAUGUUUGAGAACGAGAACAUCAAAAGCCAGCCAGCAAUAAAAA